CCACACCCUCCCUGCACCUCUUACGGCUUCCAGGACUCCCACCAUUCAGGACUCAUUUUUUGGCUCUUUAGCACAAUUGUUUUGAACUGAAGGAAUCAGAGACUUAGGGCAACUUCUGGAAGUUUCUACCCAGUUGGCAAAGAAACCUUCUCAAUCCCCUACUUACCCUAAACUAAGAGGACCAGAAAGUCUGCAGGCCCCAUGAUAUGCUACAUCUGCUGACACCAGGGAAACUCCACUACAAGGGAGUUGCAGUCUGUCACUCAACUUGCUGAGGACCAACUCUUGGGGGCACAGUCCCUACCUGCAAGCUGCUUGGAUCUCUUUGACAGAAUUGUCACAGCCGGACAAUUGUUGGAGCAAAGAGGAUUCACGUCUCAUGAUAAUUUCCAUGGCUGCAGUGUUAUGCUGAGAAGGAUGUUGAGGGCCCGUCUUGUCUUGGCAGGAAGAGCGUUGUCUGGGGAGAAUGUGAUAAAGAGGAGUAACUGAAGAUAAUUGGAGACUAACGUGAUUUCCUCACUGCCAUAAUUAGUGGCAGAGGUGGGACUGGAACACAGGCAAGAAACAUCCCAA
rnacentral:lncRNA from 1 species